rnacentral:rRNA from 1 species
CGGAGCUUGCUCCACCGGAAAAAGACCAGUGGCGAACGGGUGAGUAACACGUGGGUAACCUGCCCAUCAGAAGGGGAUAACACUUGGAAACAGGUGCUAAUACCGUAUAACAAUCGAAACCGCAUGGUUUUGAUUUGAAAGGCGCUUUCGGGUGUCGCUGAUGGAUGGACCCGCGGUGCAUUAGCUAGUUGGUGAGGUAACGGCUCACCAAGGCCACGAUGCAUAGCCGACCUGAGAGGGUGAUCGGCCACAUUGGGACUGAGACACGGCCCAAACUCCUACGGGAGGCAGCAGUAGGGAAUCUUCGGCAAUGGACGAAAGUCUGACCGAGCAACGCCGCGUGAGUGAAGAAGGUUUUCGGAUCGUAAAACUCUGUUGUUAGAGAAGAACAAGGAUGAGAGUAACUGUUCAUCCCUUGACGGUAUCUAACCAGAAAGCCACGGCUAACUACGUGCCAGCAGCCGCGGUAAUACGUAGGUGGCAAGCGUUGUCCGGAUUUAUUGGGCGUAAAGCGAGCGCAGGCGGUUUCUUAAGUCUGAUGUGAAAGCCCCCGGCUCAACCGGGGAGGGUCAUUGGAAACUGGGAGACUUGAGUGCAGAAGAGGAGAGUGGAAUUCCAUGUGUAGCGGUGAAAUGCGUAGAUAUAUGGAGGAACACCAGUGGCGAAGGCGGCUCUCUGGUCUGUAACUGACGCUGAGGCUCGAAAGCGUGGGGAGCAAACAGGAUUAGAUACCCUGGUAGUCCACGCCGUAAACGAUGAGUGCUAAGUGUUGGAGGGUUUCCGCCCUUCAGUGCUGCAGCUAACGCAUUAAGCACUCCGCCUGGGGAGUACGACCGCAAGGUUGAAACUCAAAGGAAUUGACGGGGGCCCGCACAAGCGGUGGAGCAUGUGGUUUAAUUCGAAGCAACGCGAAGAACCUUACCAGGUCUUGACAUCCUUUGACCACUCUAGAGAUAGAGCUUCCCCUUCGGGGGCAAAGUGACAGGUGGUGCAUGGUUGUCGUCAGCUCGUGUCGUGAGAUGUUGGGUUAAGUCCCGCAACGAGCGCAACCCUUAUUGUUAGUUGCCAUCAUUUAGUUGGGCACUCUAGCAAGACUGCCGGUGACAAACCGGAGGAAGGUGGGGAUGACGUCAAAUCAUCAUGCCCCUUAUGACCUGGGCUACACACGUGCUACAAUGGGAAGUACAACGAGUCGCGAAGUCGCGAGGCUAAGCUAAUCUCUUAAAGCUUCUCUCAGUUCGGAUUGUAGGCUGCAACUCGCCUACAUGAAGCCGGAAUCGCUAGUAAUCGCGGAUCAGCACGCCGCGGUGAAUACGUUCCCGGGCCUUGUACACACCGCCCGUCACACCACGAGAGUUUGUAACACCCGAAGUCGUAGA